rnacentral:ncRNA from 1 species
GAACUGAAAAGGCAAACUUGCCGAAAGGCAAGGACGCAAAGCUACGGGUCUAAAGCCCGGCAUUUUCUUGAGAAAAAAUGCCGGGCCAGGACCGCCGGGCCGCCGAA